CGGAGCUCCUCCAUCGCACUCUCGGCCAACAAAAGCAUCCGCAUCUUGGAAAGUACCUUAAGACUUUCCAGGUGCCAGUCCAUUUGGGUAGACUACGGAAGGGAAGAAACAAGCUUUGCCAAGAAAGCAGCACAGAAACAAGUACUAUUGACUCCUGUACUGCAGAACUUGUUGCAAACCUAGGAGACACUUGGCCCCUGGUUCCAGGUGUGGGGGAAACCUGGCUGAAAAGGAUUUUUAUUUAAGAGUGCACAGUGGAAAAUCCAGUGAAAGCUGGCCUGGAACUGCAAAAUGAUGGCCCAAGUGGGUACUCGAAGGUGACAAAAGGACCUCAGGUAAGGGUGGAUUUUGACUGUAAAUUAUCAUUCAAGUUAGUCAAUGUGAAAUAAACUAAUUGUAGCGCUUGUGUGAUUGUGUUAAUAAUUGGACACAAGUCAACAUUGAAGUGACUGCCUUGUUUUCCAGGCUGUUAUUCUGAAAUUUUUCAUCAUGAAAAUAGUCCUAAUUUCUGUGUACCUCAUCAGCAAAUCUAUAUCCACAUAAACAACACUCGUUAUCAUUUUCUUAUCCUUUUUCCUAUUUUGUUUUUCUUCCAAAUCAUAAAAAUGGGCUUUUACAGCUGAUGGAUCAAUCAUGAAAAAGCCCGAGCUGAAAAAAAUUUGUUGUACAAAAAAAAUUUGGACGAUCUAAGAACUCAAUUUGGCAAAUAACAGAACCUUCUAGAAAUAGAAAAUAUAGGUCUCAUUGUAUUUACAUUGGGAGUUUGUUUACGUUUACAGUGAAACAUUGUGCUAAAUCAGGUUCCAGGAUGCUGAGCUCCCAAGACAGAUUUCCUUUCCAUACCAGUAAGCUUUAGUAUCAGGGAAAAUU
rnacentral:lncRNA from 1 species